CAUCAUCAAACCUUUCUUGGUCUCUUGAUUGAGAAAGGCUUUGGACUUUGGAGGUUUUCUUUUGCUGGCAUCCCCCUUGAAGGAUGCCAGCUCCUCUUAAAUGAAUUAGUGGGGUCCACUUUGCAGAUCCCUCGACGUUGAUAAGAUGUUUCUACGUCUUGGAAUUUGCUCUGUUCGUUGGGAACCUGCUUCUAACUGUCUCUUCAGAGACUUUGUUCGAGUAUGCCUCGACCCACAAA
rnacentral:misc_RNA from 1 species